rnacentral:rRNA from 1 species
UGGGGAAUAUUGGACAAUGGGCGAAAGCCUGAUCCAGCCAUGCCGCGUGUGUGAAGAAGGUCUUCGGAUUGUAAAGCACUUUAAGUUGGGAGGAAGGGCAGUAAGUUAAUACCUUGCUGUUUUGACGUUACCGACAGAAUAAGCACCGGCUAACUUCGUGCCAGCAGCCGCGGUAAUACGAAGGGUGCAAGCGUUAAUCGGAAUUACUGGGCGUAAAGCGCGCGUAGGUGGUUUGAUAAGUUGGAUGUGAAAGCCCCGGGCUCAACCUGGGAAUUGCAUCCAAAACUGUCUGACUAGAGUAUGGCAGAGGGUGGUGGAAUUUCCUGUGUAGCGGUGAAAUGCGUAGAUAUAGGAAGGAACACCAGUGGCGAAGGCGACCACCUGGGCUAAUACUGACACUGAGGUGCGAAAGCGUGGGGAGCAAACAGG